CACACCGCCCGUCACACCAUGAGAGUGGGUUCCACCAGAAGCCGGUCGCCUAACCGCAAGGAGGGCGCCGACCACGGUGAGAUUCAUGACUGGGGUG
rnacentral:rRNA from 1 species